GACGAACCGUGCGAACGUUGUUCGGAAUAACUGGGCUUAAAGGGCGCGUAGGCGGGCUAUCAAGUCUGGGGUGAAAUCCCGCGGCUCAACCGUGGAACUGCCUCAGAUACUGACGGCCUAGAGGAAGGUAGGGGCAUGCGGAACUAACGGUGGAGCGGUGAAAUGCGUUGAUAUCGUUAGGAACUCCGGUGGCGAAAGCGGCGUGCUGGACCUUUUCUGACGCUGAGGCGCGAAAGCUAGGGGAGCAAACGGG
rnacentral:rRNA from 1 species